rnacentral:rRNA from 1 species
GCUGGCGGCAGGCCUAACACAUGCAAGUCGAGCGGUAGCACAGAGAAGCUUGCUUCUUGGGUGACGAGCGGCGGACGGGUGAGUAACGCGUAGGAAUCUACCUAAUGGUGGGGGAUAGCCCAGGGAAACUUGGAUUAAUACCGCAUAAGUCCUAAGGGAGAAAGCGGGGGAUCUUCGGACCUCGUGCCAUUAGAUGAGCCUGCGUAAGAUUAUGCUAGUUGGUGAGGUAAGAGCUCACCAAGGCGACGAUCUUUAGCUGGUCUGAGAGGAUGAUCAUGCCACACUGGGACUGAGACACGGCCCAGACUCCUACGGGAGGCAGCAGUGGGGAAUAUUGGACAAUGGGGGCAACCCUGAUCCAGCCAUGCCGCGUGUGUGAAGAAGGCCUUCGGGUUGUAAAGCACUUUCAGAUGUGAGGAAAGGUUGCAGAUUAAUACUCUGCAGCUGUGACGUUAACAUCAGAAGAAGGACCGGCUAACUCCGUGCCAGCAGCCGCGGUAAUACGGAGGGUCCGAGCGUUAAUCGGAAUUACUGGGCGUAAAGCGCGCGUA